AACCUCAUCUUCUUCUCCGCAUCUUCAUCUGCCUCUCUAUGUCUCUGUCUCUCUCGCACGAUCUCACCCUCUCCGUCUCUCUCAUGAUCUCACCUCUGUCUCAAUUAGUUAGAUUUCAGUUCUCUUUUUCAUGUCUCUGGUUUUUUUUGUUUGUUGUUGGUAUAAAUGAUCAUGUGGAUUUUGGGUAUUUCGAAAUUGUCUUUCGAUUUUCAAGGCAUGUGGUGUUUCCUUUUGAAUCUAACGAUAAAUUGAAUUUGUGCAGGUGUUUUCUAUGGCUCAAGGGAACAACAAUUGGAUUUUGGGUUAAUUGAUUUCUAGCAAUAGAGAAGCAGCAGUGUCAAUCAAGUUGAAUGACUCGCCACAAUUAGAGAAGCAUCUUUUUUUUCCUCGUGUGGAGACCCGUACCUUGCCCACCUCUUCAAUGACUUAAAGAUGAACUAUUAUCUUAACAUAGAAGCACCAUAAGAGUUUAGAUUUACUUUGGGAUAUUGAAAAUGUUUACUAAUGAUAUAGGAUUGUAAUGAGUUUUUGGAAUUUAUUAUAUUGGUCUUUUAUUAAUGAUAA